GGCCUUUGCUUUCCAUUAUUGUAUUUAUCACAACUAUAUGUAUGAGAGGUAACAGAGUAGGAAAAAGGGGAGGGAGAGGUGUAGGGACAGGGUUAGGGCCCUUAGGUAGGGAAAAAAUGGGAUGAAGGUCUCACUGAGCUUUUUUAGAUGUUAAUGAAGAGACUAAGGGUGGAGACCUUCUCCUCUGCACAACCAGAAAGGCAAAGGCAAAGAAACUAAGCUCAGGGAGGUUCCAAGGAGCAUGAUCAGUAUAAACCCCUUUACUUAAUACUUAGGCCUAAACUACUUGUCUCAUCCUCCCACCCAUAAUCCUAGCCUGCACCAAAGAAGACCAAAGGUCAUAUGACCAGAAGAAAUCCAAGGGAAGAACCAAAGACAGCCAUGGAGCCAAGCAGAUUUCAGGAGCCUACAUAAGACAAGGACCCCAAUAAAAAGGGGCCCCAGAAGGCUGGGGAUUUAGUUCAGUGGUACUGCACCUGCUUUGUAAGUGAAAGGUCCUGAGUUCAAUCCUUAGUACUGGGAGAAAAAAAAAGGAACCCUAGAAAAGAAUCCACAAGUAUUUCACUUUUGAAUGCUCCCUACUGCUAUAGAGUAGCUACCUAUCACCUCUCUCUCUCUCUCUUCCCCCUUUUUCUCUACGUUCAAAUAAAUGGUCUUCUCUUAGUUUGAAUUUGGCUUCUUCAAUUCUUUACUAAUGCUGGGUUUACAAUCCCUUGAGAGCUGUAUGUUCCAGCAGAGUGGUAGCAUGGAGUGGCAUGGUGUUCACCCCUCCCCAGACAUUACUGAGGGAAAGAGGAAGAUUGAGGAGAGGGUUACAUAUAUACAUUUUUUAAAGUUUAUUGCUACCUCUAAAUUCAAAAGUACAAUGAAUAUGCCUAGCACAGUGCUGACACAGAGAAGGAACUUAUUUAGAGAAGGAAAAGUGAGACAGAAUGGACUCAUUAGGUCAGAUUGCUACAGUGAUAUCUCAUAAAUGAAGAUGAUUCAGAUGAAUGAUUAUUAUGCAUUUUUACUUUUGACAAAUCUUUUCUUUAAAAAUGAGUAAAAACUGAUUCAACCUAAAAAGAGUAAGAGAAACAUGUUGUAAGAGGCCUCUGUGAGAUGCAGGCACACAAUGGGGCUUCAUUAUAAAAUAAUGAAUCAGCAUAGACAACCACACAUGCAUCACAUGGCCUACAAGGUUGCCCAAAAUAUUGUCUUACUAUGACUAAAUAAGCUGAUAUAGAAAGUGCUAUGCUGAAAAAAUAGUUUGUUCCUGCUUUCUUGUGAUGUCAUUUCGCACCUAGCCACCUUGUUGCGCCCUCUAUAUCAAAUAACUCAAAUGACUACAACAUGGGACUAGACUGAUGCAGAGGAAGCUGCAUUCCAAAACUCAGGACAGUUGCUUAAGUACAGGCCCUUCGAGUUGUUGGCCCUACCUGGCCUUUCACCCUAAUGGUGAAUGCAGAUGAGGUUUGGUUUGGCUAGGGUUUAUGACAAAAAAAAGAAAAACAAAAACACCC
rnacentral:lncRNA from 1 species